rnacentral:rRNA from 1 species
AUUGAACGCUGGCGGCAGGCCUAACACAUGCAAGUCGAACGAGUGGCGGACGGGUGAGUAACGUCUGGGAAACUGCCUGAUGGUGGGGGAUAACUAUUGGAAACGGUAGCUAAUACCGCAUACCAUCAGAUGUGCCCAGAUGGGAUUAGCUAGUUGGUGGGGUAACGGCUCACCAAGGCGACGAUCCCUAGCUGGUCUGAGAGGAUGACCGGCCAAACUGGAACUGAGGCACGGUCCAACCUCCUACGGGAGGAAGCAGUGGGGAAUAUUGCACAAUGGGCGCAAGCGUGAUACAGCCAUGCCGCGUGUAUGAGGGGGGCCUUCGGGUUGUAAGGUACUUUCAGCGGGGAGGCGUUACCCGCAGAAGAAGCGCCGGCUAACUCCGUGCCAGCAGCCGCGGUAAUUC